rnacentral:rRNA from 1 species
UACGUAGGUGGCAAGCGUUGUCCGGAUUUAUUGGGCGUAAAGCGAGCGCAGGCGGUUCCUUAAGUCUGAUGUGAAAGCCCACGGCUCAACCGUGGAGGGUCAUUGGAAACUGGAAAACUUGAGUGCAGAAGAGGAAAGUGGAAUUCCAUGUGUAGCGGUGAAAUGCGCAGAGAUAUGGAGGAACACCAGUGGCGAAGGCGGCCCCCUGGACGAAGACUGACGCUCAGGUGCGAAAGCGUGGGGAGCAAACAGG